GGAGAUUAUACGAGACAAGCUUCUUACACAAGAGCCAGAUGUUCAACUUCUUGCCUAAGGGGGUCCCCAUACCACCUUCUGGUCCAUCCAAGAGACACAACUCGAUACAAAAUUGAGUAACCAAUCCCUUUUUGUGGUCAUAGUUUAAUUAAUUAGACUCGUCAUAUAUUUUUCAUUUCCAUUUUCUAGUUCUUGGGUUCUUGAAAUUUGCUUGGUCAGUGAAGGAUAAUGAGAUCAAAAUACAAGAAAUAGGACUUUUU
rnacentral:misc_RNA from 1 species